UACGUAGGGGGCAAGCGUUUGUCCGGAAUCAUUGGGCGUAAAGAGCUCGUAGGCGGUUUGUUGCGUCGGCUGUGAAAUCCCGAGGCUCAACCUCGGGUCUGCAGUCGAUACGAGCAAACUAGAGUGUUGCAGGGGAGACUGGAAUUCCUGGUGUAGCGGUGGAAUGCGCAGAUAUCAGGAGGAACACCGGUGGCGAAGGCGGGUCUCUGGGCAGUAACUGACGCUGGAGGAGCGAAAGCGUGGGGAGCGAACAGG
rnacentral:rRNA from 1 species